rnacentral:rRNA from 1 species
UACGUAGGGGGCAAGCGUUGUCCGGAAUCAUUGGGCGUAAAGAGCGCGUAGGCGGUCCGAUAAGUCGGUUGUGAAAACUGGGGGCUCAACCCUCAGAGGCCGACCGAUACUGUCGGGCUAGAGUCCGGAAGAGGCGAGUGGAAUUCCUGGUGUAGCGGUGAAAUGCGCAGAUAUCAGGAGGAACACCGGUGGCGAAGGCGGGUCUCUGGGACGAUACUGACGCUGAGGCGCGAAAGCGUGGGGAGCGAACAGG